rnacentral:rRNA from 1 species
CUUGCAAAAGCAAAGAAUAAGAGGUCCAGCCUGCCCUGUGACUAUAUGUUUAACGGCCGCGGUAUUUUAACCGUGCGAAGGUAGCGCAAUCACUUGUCUUUUAAAUGAAGACCUGUAUGAAUGGCACAACGAGGGCUUAACUGUCUCCUUUUUCAGGUCAAUGAAAUUGAUCUCCCCGUGCAGAAGCGGGUAUAUAUACAUAAGACGAGAAGACCCUAUGGAGCUUUAGACACCAAGGCAUUUCAUGUUAAACACCCUUUUACAAUAGGCUAAACCAAAUGAACCGUGCCCCUAUGUCUUUGGUUGGGGCGACCGCGGGGAAACAAAAAACCCCCACGUGGAAUGGGAGCACUGCCUCCUACAACCAAGAGCUGCAGCUCUAGUAAACAGAAAUUCUGACCAUCAGAUCCGGCAAUGCCGAUCAACGGACCGAGUUACCCUAGGGAUAACAGCGCAAUCCCCUUUUAGAGCCCAUAUCGACAAGGGGGUUUACGACCUCGAUGUUGGAUCAGGACAUCCUAAUGGUGCAGCCGCUAUUAAGGGUUCGUUUGUUCAACGAUUAAAGUCCU